rnacentral:rRNA from 1 species
UACGAAGGGGGCUAGCGUUGUUCGGAAUUACUGGGCGUAAAGCGCGCGCAGGCGGUUCUCCAAGUCAGUGGUGAAAGCCCGGAGCUCAACUCCGGAACUGCCAUUGAAACUGUUGAACUUGAGGACGAGAGAGGUGAGUGGAACUCCCAGUGUAGAGGUGAAAUUCGUAGAUACUGGGAAGAACACCAGUGGCGAAGGCGGGCUCACUGGCUCGUAUCUGACGCUCAGGCGGCGAUA